UAGAAGCCAUGGAAGGAAGUAACCAGGGAUCCUGGUCCCAUACAAGGUGGCCUCCGAUGGCUGUGCUCUCUGAGUUCUUGAUACCAGGCCAUCCACUGUCAUUUUGUUAGUUUAUUACAUAACUACUGAGUGCCCAUUAUAUGGCUAUGGAUCAAACAUUCCCAACCUUGAUGUCAUGUGCUCCAGGAUGUACAAGAGUACAAGCAAUUGUUCUGAUAGAAGACAGAAGAGGGGUCUUUGUCCAUUUCUGACACAAAAAGCAUCACUCUCCUAAUGGUUAAUAGAGCUCAUCAACACAGCCCUCCCUAUUCCUCAACAAAGUGCCGUCCUCUGGAAAGAUGUGGACAUUGCUCUCAUUCCUCUGCCCUGGUUAAUUUCCCCUCGUCCUCCGUGAAAUCAUCAUCCUCACAAUCCAGUUCGAAAGAAAGUCAUGCAUAUUAUCAAGAGUGAAGCUGAACACCAGUUGGAAUCGACUGUGAGAAUCUGCAGGCCAAAAAGAGAAUAAGCAUGGCUUCAGUGGAGAGGAAAGAAGAGCUGAGACUUACUGGGGAGGCCCUGAAGCCCACACAGCACACUGGUCCUACAGAGUCUAAUGAGGGGUGAGAAAGGGUCGCGGGCCUCAGGGUUCCCAUCUGGGCAAUGGCCACACCACUGGUCCCAAUGCAGCAGAUGAGCUAUGAGGCAUCUCUAAGAGAGGUGGACUUGUGAAUCCAUGGCAUAGCACAUGGCAUGUGUUAAUGUAUCCACAUGAUUUCUCUUCCCUUCUUCUGUCUUCUCAUUCUCGUUCUUUCCUUCAGCCCAGAAGGGCUUUCUACCUUAUUUGUGCCCAGGGAAGGAGAAUUGUGUGGAAAUCCACAUGGCGUCAUGCUUCACGCUGCAAAAGUGGGAAGGACAGAGGGUGUCAUGGGGUCUCUCACUGCAGGUGUGGGUUCCCUUGGACUCUGGGGCUUAGCCACACUCGGGCUGAUUGACAGCAGGCAGCCGGUUUUGAAGGCAGGCUCUCCCAGACCUCACCAGGACUUCAGGAGGAACGGAGAGGACGAGCUGCCCAAAGGCAAGGUAGGGUCAUGGAGCCCAGGCCCGGGCAGCGUCUGCCAGGGCCCCUUCACUGUGAGCCACCUCCAUCACAGGGGCUCCAGAAACUCCCUCUUGGCUCUCUAUCAUUAGCAUCUUAGUUCCAAUUACUUUAGCCUCGAGAGCCUCCUUUUGUUUUGCACUGUUUGAAAAUAUCACUUUGCACAUCACCUGGUGCUUAUUUUAAGGAUCUAAGUAUCGGAGGUUUCUGGUCUUUGUUUUAUAACUUUAUCCAUUUUUGACUGCCUUAAUUUCCUUCCUGCCCCUGUUUUGAAUUGUUCUAUUUAUUUUUGUCUGAACUUUCUUUAAAAAAUUUGUAUUCUGGCAAACUGAUGUAGCUCUGGAAGACAGUAUGGAGGUUCCUCAAAAAGUUAAAAAUAGAAUUACCCUAUGAU